AUUCUGUUGAGAAUCUAAAAAAAUUAGAACAUUCAAUGGGGCUUAUAUUUCAACAACUUAAAAAUUUAGAAAACUCAAUUGGUAAGGAAAGUACACUUAUGUUUCUUUUUGUUUAAUUUUAACACACAUUUUUUGAUGUUUGUGUGCGGUUUUAUCACUGUAAAAUAAACUGCUUAAUUGAUUAGUAUAUGUUAGUUUAUGUAAAUAUAUUUUUUACCUCCACUAUAGCGUCAUCUGCAGUACCAUCAGCAACGCUGAUAAAACUGAAUUUUUUUAAAAAAAGAGUAUUUCCAGCUUUCCAACCAAAUAUUAGAGACUUUUACAAAAGCACCCUCACAAAAUAAUGCUUUUAUAAUCAAUUUAAAAGUCUUUCAAAUCGUUAAUCAUUUUCUAAAGGCGAAG